CUCAAUUCCAGUGCAGCUGACAGUUGAUCUGGGUGACCAAAUAGUGAUAGCACCCUUGGGCUACAGCUUCUACAAAAACAAGUAGUGUUGUCACCCAGUCUGACUCCCUCCAUCAACAAGAGAUUUCCCAGCAUUGACUUCUACAGCCGCUACUCCCAGGGGAGGAAUGCAGGGCACGAGUAAACAAGAAAUGUCUGCUCCCACCCCUAGACCUGAUGAAAAAGAUAGGCCUGAUUAGUCUCCCUCCCCUGCCACAAGCCACAGAUCACUGGAGUGCAGAGGACAUCAGAUCUAAGCUGGAAUCAGCAUCUGUUGGCGUUUGGACUGAGAGACCGAGUUAAUUUACUUCGGAGAGCUAAGUGGGAAGGCCACAUGGACUGACAGAUGGAACCUACUGCCUGGUUCACCCACAAUGGGUCCUGUGCUUGUGGAUGAAAGAGCAGGAGCCCAUCUGUGAAGAAGAGAGUGCUACAGCUCCAGGAUGUAGGUGUGGCUCACAGAGGGGCUACACUUCCCACACCUAAGUUCUGUGCUAUUUCCCUGUAAUGGCCUAAUAAAGCUCCCUUUUACUUUUGCUUCUCUGAGUAGGCUUCUAUUCUCACAACCAGAUGAUCUCCAAGAA
rnacentral:lncRNA from 1 species